rnacentral:rRNA from 1 species
GACAACGCUGGCGGCGUGCCUAACACAUGCAAGGUCGAGCGGGGUCUAUGCGGUAGCUUGCUACUGAAUAGACUUAGCGGCGGACGGGUGAGUAACACGUGGGUAACCUGCCUCACACAACGGGAUAACACUGGGAAACUAGUGCUAAUACCGUAUAACAUAUGCCUGGGGGCAUCCCGGGCAUAUCAAAGGCACUGAAAAGGGAGCUGGUGUGAGAUGGGCCCGCGGCCGAUUAGCUAGUUGGCAGGGUAAUGGCCUACCAAGGCGACGAUCGGUAGCCGGACUGAGAGGUUGGCCGGCCACAUUGGGACUGAGACACGGCCCAGACUCCUACGGGAGGCAGCAGUGGGGAAUAUUGCGCAAUGGGGGGAACCCUGACGCAGCGACGCCGCGUGAAGGAAGAAGGCCUUCGGGUUGUAAACUUCUUUGACUGGGGACGAAGGAAGUGACGGUACCCAGGGAACAAGCCACGGCUAACUACGUG